rnacentral:rRNA from 1 species
UGGGGAUGACGUCAAGUCAUCACGGCCCUUACGUCCGGGGCUACACACGUGAUACAAUGGUAGGUAUAAUGGGCAAAACCGCGAGGUUGAGGAAAUCCCCAAAACCUGCCUCAGUUCGGAUUGCAGUCUGCAACUCGACUGCAUGAAGCUGGAAUCGCUAGUAAUCGCAGAUCAGCAUGCUCGCGGUCCGAUCGUUCCGGCCUU